rfam:Macrostomum lignano uti_cns_0009493, whole genome shotgun sequence.
AAAACGGCCCUUUUUGGGGCCACACUUUUCUGGUAGAAUAAGAAU